GAUGAACGCUGGCGGCGUGCCUAACACAUGCAAGUCGAACGGAGUUUAACGAAUGAAGCCUAGCGAUUUUGUUAAACUUAGUGGCGGACGGGUGAGUAACGCGUGGAUAACCUGCCUCACACAGUGGGAUAACAGUUAGAAAUGACUGCUAAUACCGCAUAAGCCCACAGCACCGCAUGAUGCAGUGGGAAAAGAUUUUAUCGGUGUGAGAUGGAUCCGCGUCUGAUUAGCUAGUUGGCGGGGUAACGGCCCACCAAGGCGAUGAUCAGUAGCCGGCCUGAGAGGGUGAACGGCCACAUUGGGACUGAGACACGGCCCAAACUCCUACGGGAGCAGCAGUGGGGAAUAUGCACAAUGGGCGCAAGCCUGAUGCAGCGACGCCGCGUGAGUGAAGAAGUAUUCGGUUGUAACUCUUUUAAGAGGAAGAGUAGAAGACGGUACCUCUUGAAUAAGCCACGGCUAACUACGUGCC
rnacentral:rRNA from 1 species